rnacentral:rRNA from 1 species
CAGUAGCCGCGGUAAAACGAAGGGGGCUAGCGUUGCUCGGAAUGACUGGGCGUAAAGGGCGCGUAGGCGGUUUGUACAGUUGGAUGUGAAAUUCCUGGGCUUAACCUGGGGGCUGCAUUCAAUACGUGCAGGCUUGAGUGUGGAAGAGGGUUGUGGAAUUCCCAGUGUAGAGGUGAAAUUCGUAGAUAUUGGGAAGAACACCGGUGGCGAAGGCGGCAACCUGGUCCAUUACUGACGCUGAGGCGCGAAAGCGUGGGGAGCAAACAGGAUUAGAUACCCCGGUAGUCCCUGUCUCUUAUAC